GGAAUCAAACACGGAAGAGGAACAUCAUCUGCAGUGAGUGAAUAGUAGCGGUGAGAUGCAGAAGCAGAAGAAGCACUUAAUCGAUGCUUUCAUUGGUGGGAAAAGGAACACGAAUAAGAAGCAUGACAUUGAAAUGUCUAUCCCUUACCCAUUCACUCACUCAAACCCAUAAUUCACAACACGUCACUACCUUCUCCUCUUCUCUCCACAACCAUAACCCUCUCUUUCAGAUAUACUCCGGAAUUCUCAGCUCUCGAAUUCGAGCGUUUUCGACCAACUUCAGAGGCGGAACCACACCCACUGCUUCUUCUUCUUUGCCCCAAAUCAUGGCGAGUUUCGACACUGAAUCUGUCACUUACCUUACGCAGCGUGAAGCCGCUGAGAUCGAUGAGUCGCUCAUGGGUCCUCUUGGCUUCAGUGUCGACCAGCUCAUGGAAUUGGCUGGUUUGAGCGUCGCUGCUUCUAUAUCUGAGGUUUACAAACCAAGUGAGUAUAGUCGUGUUCUUACCAUAUGUGGCCCUGGUAAUAAUGGUGGUGAUGGUCUGGUGGCUGCCCGUCACCUGCAUCACUUUGGUUAUAAGCCCUCAGUCUGCUACCCAAAGCGUACUGCAAAACCUCUUUAUACUGGAUUAGUUACUCAGCUUGAAGCACUGUCAAUUCCAUUCUUGUCAGUGGAAGACCUGCCAUCAGAUCUCUCAGAAGACUUUGACAUUCUAUUAGAUGCAAUGUUUGGAUUCUCAUUUCAUGGUUCUCCAAGGCCUCCUUUUGAUGAUUUGAUCCAGAAACUAGUCUCUUUGCAUAAUCAUAAUCAAAUUGGUCAAAAACAAUCAGUUAUAGUGUCUGUAGAUAUUCCCUCUGGGUGGCAUGUUGAAGACGGAGAUGUUGAUGGUACUGGCAUUAAACCUGAUAUGUUGGUUUCUUUGACAGCCCCAAAAUUAUGUGCAAAGAAAUAUGGUGGUCAUCACCACUUUCUUGGAGGUAGAUUUGUUCCUCCUGCCAUUGCAGAAAAAUAUAAGCUUAUACUUCCACCAUAUCCUGGAACAUCCAUGUGUGUUCGAAUUGGAAAGCCUCCACAAAUUGAUAUUUCAGCUUUAAGAGAGAACUAUAUCUCUCCAGAAUUUCUGGAAGAGCAGGUGGAGGCUGACCCUAUUAAUCAGUUUCGUAAAUGGUUUGAUGAUGCAAUGGCUGCUGGUUUGAAGGAACCAAAUGCUAUGGCCUUGUCAACUGUAGGGAAGGAUGGACAACCCUCAUCACGAAUGGUAUUGCUAAAAGGCUUGGAAAAGGAUGGAUUUGUUUGGUACACAAACUAUGAAAGUCAAAAGGCAUCUCAAUUAUCUGAAAAUCCACAUGCAUCACUUCUUUUUUAUUGGGAUGGUUUAAACCGGCAGGUAAUUGUUGUUUUAAUUCUAGCUAGCCAGCUACAUCUUCAGAUUGAUUUAUUCAUACAUGGAAUUGAUGAAGUUAAUUUUUCAUGCCAAGGAGCAUCUAGCCUUCUCCUUGGAAACCUUUGGUGCAGCAUGUCAUAAUGUACCUUCCUAGGAGGCAAAAAAUGAGAAGUAUAUAAUAUUUGAUAGUUAGAACUCCUGAAAAGACUGUUUAAGAUGUGGAUGAAUAAAAUUCUUUCAGGUGGUAUAACAUAGGGAAUUAGAAUAUCUACUUUCAGUAUCACCUCUACUUUUGGAAAUCUUGACAAACAACAACAACAACGACAGUCUUAUCUCACUAGGUGAGGUCGCCUACAUAGAUCACAUGACGCCAUUGAGCUCGGUCAAAAACCAAAUCUUUAGAAAUCAGGUACGAGUGGAGGGGUCUGUUCAAAAAGUCUCUGAUGAGGAAUCAGAAAAGUAUUUCCAUAGCCGUCCUAGAGGAAGCCAGAUUGGAGCAAUAGUCAGCAAGCAGAGCACUGUAGUGCCUGGUAGGCAUGUUCUUUAUCAAGAGUACAGAGAGCUGGAACAAAAAUAUGCGGAUGGAAGUUUGAUCCCUAAACCUAAGAACUGGGGAGGAUACAGGCUAAGACCACAACUUUUUGAGUUUUGGCAAGGACAGCAAUCUCGCUUGCAUGACAGGUGGUUGCUCUCCAGAUUAUGAUAGGUUGCGAUAUACUCCCCAUGAGAUCAAUGGACAACGGCUGUGGAAGGUUGAGCGAUUGGCCCCUUGAUCACUUAUAUUGUUUCAAUAUCUCAAUAUGUGAAAAAUAAGGGAAUGAAAUUCUUUCUAUAUCUCGACCUAUUUUUUCUUUUUUGUGCUAUUUCUAUUUUUAUAUGCUUAGUAUUGGUUUUUCUUGGCAUUCUAAGUAGAAUUGAUUGCAAGUUCUACAUUUUAAGUAAAAAGUUUAAUUGUACUUUGCUCUCUUUAGUUUGAAUUAUGCGUGAUUUUUGUUCCCUAAGUUUUUUUAAUCUAAUUAAGUCUUUGUAUUUUUAACAUUGGGCAAAUUUAGUCCCUCAUUAAUUUUCUUCUACU